rnacentral:sRNA from 1 species
UAUCCAAGGGGGGUAACGCCGCGGACUGU